UCCGUGCCCAAGGGUACCUGAUGAGUGUGCCGCCUGGGGACUACGAGCGCAAGCUUAAAACUCAAAGGAAUUGACGGGGGCCCGCACAAGCAGCGGAGCGUGUGGUUUAAUUCGACGCAACGCGCAGAACCUUACCAAGGCUUGACAUACAGGGAAAUCCUCCAGAGAUGGGGGGUCCGCAAGGGUCCUGUACAGGUGGUGCAUGGUUGUCGUCAGCUCGUGUCGUGAGAUGUUGGGUUAAGUCCCGCAACGAGCGCAACCCUCGUUCUAUGUUGCCAGCGCGUUAUGGCGGGGACUCAUAGGAGACUGCCGGGGUCAACUCGGAGGAAGGUGGGGAUGACGUUCGUCUGAC
rnacentral:misc_RNA from 1 species